GCUACCAUAGCUCAGUUGGCAGAGUGCAUCCUUGGUAAGGAUGAGGUCACGGGUCCGAUUCCCGUUGGUAGCUCCA
rnacentral:tRNA from 1 species